AACGAACGCUGGCGGCAGGCCUAACACAUGCAAGUCGAGGGGUAUUGGUUUUCGGACCAAGAGACCGGCGCACGGGUGCGUAACGCGUAUGCAAUCUACCUUUUGCAGAGGGAUAGCCCAGAGAAAUUUGGAUUAAUACCUCAUAGUAUAGUAGUUUCGCAUGAAACGACUAUUAAAGUUCCAACGGCAAAAGAUGAGCAUGCGUCCCAUUAGCUAGUUGGUAAGGUAACGGCUUACCAAGGCAACGAUGGGUAGGGGUCCUGAGAGGGCGAUCCCCCACACUGGUACUGAGACACGGACCAGACUCCUACGGGAGGCAGCAGUGAGGAAUAUUGGACAAUGGGCGCAAGCCUGAUCCAGCCAUGCCGCGUGCAGGAUGACGGUCCUAUGGAUUGUAAACUGCUUUUGUACAGGAAGAAACACUCCCUCGUGAGGGAGCUUGACGGUACUGUAAGAAUAAGGAUCGGCUAACUCCGUGCCAGCCGCCGCCGUAA
rnacentral:rRNA from 1 species